CCUACGGGUGGCAGCAGUAGGGAAUCUUCGGCAAUGGGGGGAACCCUGACCGAGCAACGCCGCGUGAGUGAAGAAGGUUUUCGGAUCGUAAAGCUCUGUUGUAAGAGAAGAACGCGUGUGAGAGUGGAAAGUUCACACAGUGACGGUAUCUUACCAGAAAGGGACGGCUAACUACGUGCCAGCAGCCGCGGUAAUACGUAGGUCCCGAGCGUUGUCCGGAUUUAUUGGGCGUAAAGCGAGCGCAGGCGGUUAGAUAAGUCUGAAGUUAAAGGCUGUGGCUUAACCAUAGUAUGCUUUGGAAACUGUUUAACUUGAGUGCAAGAGGGGAGAGUGGAAUUCCAUGUGUAGCGGUGAAAUGCGUAGAUAUAUGGAGGAACACCGGUGGCGAAAGCGGCUCUCUGGCUUGUAACUGACGCUGAGGCUCGAAAGCGUGGGGAGCAAACAGGAUUAGAUACCCCAGUAGUC
rnacentral:rRNA from 1 species